UUUCACAAGAUGUAAUAUAAGUCUCUGGUGUCUCCAGAAUGUGUCUGUGAAGUUUCAGCUCAAAAUACCCCACAGAUCAUUUAUUAUAGCUUGUCAAAUUUGCCCCUAUUUGGGUGUGAGCAAAAACACGCUGUUUUUGUGUGUGUCCCUUUAAAUGCAAAUGAGCUGCUGCUCCCGCCCCCUUUCCAGAAGAGGGCGGAGCUUUAACGGCUCGCGCUUCGGUCGCUCAACAACAACAAAGCUGGAGAAUCUCACGCAGCCAAAAUGAGGAUUGUCAGUAACGGUGUUCAGCCUUACAUUGUUCAAACCGGAGUCGACACUGAUGGAGAGACUCAGGAAGAAGUUACAACUUUUAGACGUUUCUGAAUGGUUAGUGGAUAAAUUUAUGUAGUUGCUGUGGAGUUGAUUCAACUCAUCCACUAGCAUGUGCCGUCAUGUUAAUCUUUUGUGCAAAUCCAGCGUUGAAUCGACCCUCGUUUGUGAAGCAACAUGGCCCCGCCCCUUUUGAUGUGUGUUCUCAAGGGCGGGGUUUAUGUAAAUUUUAGGAUUAGUGAUGUCACAAACCCGCGAAGAAGCUCGUUGUAGUUCCUACUAGCCGUUUGUUGUAGUCCUUAAACAGUGAUUUCUGUAAAAGAAAAUAUCUCCCUUUGCAUUGAACUUUGAGCGUCGUAACUUUGCAGAUGAUGUUUAUGUGUUAUCAUGGAAGAACGAGGGUGAGUGCGGGAGCACGUGUUUUCUUGACCACACAAAAUAAAACAAGAUGCAAGUAUCAGGGAUUGGCGUGUCACAAAAAUUAUUCCUGCACUCAGCUCCUAAUCCGGUGUUGGAUUGUUUUUAUUGUGCCACUACAAUUUAGUCAAAAAAACGUUACGCAUGAGUCGUCUUUGGAUUAAGCAGUGGUCUCAAACUCAGCUCCUGCAGGGUUUAGCUACAACUCACCUGCCUGGAAGUUUCUAGUAUUCCUGGAGUCCUUGAUUAGCUGGAUCAGGUGUGUUUGAUUAGGGUUGGAGCUGAACUCUGCAGGAGUGAGUUUGAGACCAGUGGAUUAAAGGAAGAGUCCUGUAGGGUUUGACUGGAUGUAAAGGAAGAACAGCGCUGAUGGAGUAUCGACCUGCUCUCGCUUGUUUUAAUGUGAAGGAUUAUUGCACAACAGGACAAACGUCUUUGGAUAUGCUUACUGCCGUCGAACCGAUGAAGGAGGAUUGCAGUGGUGUUAUAUUUGCAUUCCAGCCGCAGUGAGAAACUCCACAGGCUCCUGAACGACUGACUAAUGAUCACGGGAAUCUGCCGUUCUGGAGAACCCUUUGCAGAACUUCACACCAGACGAGCCACACAACCCCUUUCAGAAUGAUCUUUAUUUUAAAUGUAUUAUGUAUAGUCGUGGCAAUAAAUGUUUAAAUCAA